rnacentral:rRNA from 1 species
AUGGCACACAAUAGAGCACCCGGGCCGGACAGCGUUCCUGUGGAAUUCUAUCAGGUGUGUUGGGAUAUCGUGAAGGGUGAUAUUAUGCUCCUGUUUGAACACUUUCAUAAAGGGGGAUUGGACGUACAGCGCCUCAAUUAUGGAGUGAUUACUCUUCUCCCCAAAUCUGCGGGCGCAGACAAGAUUCAACAGUUUCGGCCGAUUUGCCUCCUGAGAUGUCCGUACAAACUUAUCACUAAAGUCCUAGAUAGGCGAGUUGAAAAAUAUGCUGAUAAGCUCAUAAAUAGGGCCCAGAACGCUUUCGUGAAAAAAAGGAACAUCAUGGACGGUGUGAUGUCUCUGCAUGAAAUCCUUAACUAUACUCAUGUCAAAAAGAGAGUGGGUGUGAUUCCGAAACUUGAUUUUGAGAAGGCUUAUGACAAAGUCAACUGGGAUUUUAUUCUUGAGUGUCAUAGGCUCCGAGGCUUUAACGAAAAAUGA